GCGCGCGCAAGGUGGUUUCUUAAGUCUGAUGUGAAAAGCCCACGGCUCAACCGUUGGAGGGUCAUUGGAUACUGGGAAACUUGAGUGCAGAAGAGAAAAGCGGUAUUCCACGUGUAGCGUUGAAAUGCGUAUAGAUGUGGAGGAACACCAGUGGCGAAGGCGGCUUUUUGGUCUGUAACUGACGCUGAGGCGCGAAAGCGUGGGGAGCAAACAGGAUUAGAUACCCUGGUUAGUCCACGCCGUAAACGAUGAGUGCUAAGUGUUAGAGGGUUUCCGCCCUUUAGUGGUGCAGCUAACGCAUUAAGCACUCCGCCUGGUGAGUACGGUCGCAAAGACUGAAACCCAAAGGAAUUUGACGGCCGCCCCCCCCAAGCCGAGAAAAAUGUGGUUUAUUUCGAGUAAGGGGGAAAAACCUAACAGGUUCUUGAUUUCCCCUGAAAACCCCAAAAAUUAAAAGGGUCCCCUUUCGGGGGCAAAAAGUGACCGGGGGGCACGUGGUUAACCCCCCCCCCGGUACGAAAAUUUUUGUUUUAUCCCCAAAACCAGGGCAACCUUUUUUCUUUUUCCCCCCCUUUUUUGGCCCCCCCAAGGGGAACCGCCGGAAAAACCCGGAAGGAAGUGGGGUAGCCGAAAAUAUCAUGCCCUUUUGAACGGGGAAAUCCGGUUUUUUUUAGGAACAAAGUCCGAAUCCCGGGGGCCACCCAAUUCAAAAAUUUUUCUUUGGUUUUAAACCCCCCCCCCUUCACGAAUACCAAAACCGGAUCCAUCCGAGGAACAUUCCGCCAAUAAUCCCGCCAUUCUUUAUUUC
rnacentral:rRNA from 1 species